ACAUUUCUUGGUUCCCUGACCAGGAAACGAGGUAACUCACGGACGGCUGAGGCAGCCCCUCAGACGGCUUAGACCUGCCCUGUGGAGCAUCCCUGUGGGGAACUCCGGCCAGCCUGAGUGAUGCAAUCCAAAGAGCGCUCCCGGGUAGGAAAUUGACCCGGUGGAACGCCUCACCAGAGCAGCACGUAGCAGGCCCCCACGGAGGAUUAACACAGUGGCUGAACACCAGGAAGGAACCGGUACUUGGAGUCCGGACAUCUGAAACUUGUUACUGUGAGUGAGCCUCUGCAAGUAUUAACAGCGCCUAAUUAAUGCAGUGACCCAGGAUACAGCGGUGACAAACUCCUCACCCUCCAGGUCUGUGUCUUCAGUGGGGUGAACUUGGGGUCAGAAGACCUGGGUCCAUUUCCAUCAGGACCUGCUGUGUGAUCCAGGGCACGGGGCUUCAUCUGUCCAAGCACAUCUGCCAAAUGCAAAUGCCACUCAUCAGUCUGCCUUACAGAAAUGCCAAAAUACUCCAGGGAAUUUCUGUACGAAGUGUGAAGCGCACACACAAAUGCCUAACAUGCCGAGUCCUGGGAACCCCAUCUUUUCAAGGCUCACCCGCUCCUUCAUGUGGCAUGGCUCAGGACCACAACACUGGGUUUGUGGAACAACAGAGAAGCACAUUCAUUCUCCUCCCAAGCCAGGCUCGGGCCAUGCAGGCAGCUGUGCCUGACUCAUCCCUUCCUCUUCCUCCUCCUCGGCCCAUGACUCACCAGAGCUGUCAGACCAGCAUCCUCCCUGGUUUCCUUCCCAAGCCAUGCCUGGUCAGGAUGCAGGACUGAAGCCCUCUUCCCACCAGGCGCUCCCCGCUCUCCCCAAGUGUCUCUUCUGACCCUCGGGGUCCGCAUUGCACUCUAGCAUGACUGUUCCCUGGGUGUUGUGCUGUGCUUGCAACUUCACUGUCACCUCUGGGAGGGCAGGCUCUUGAGAGGCAAUCCAGUGUGGUCCACCAAAAACAUGGUUCCUGGAGCCUGCUCCCUGGGAUUCUGACUUACUUGCUCUGGAGUUUGGGAGCAGCAGAGAGGUUUAAAAGCUCUCUAGGUGAUUCCAACAUAUGGCCAAGGCCGAGAAGUGCUGAUCUAGAACCAGGCUGCCCAGCUGGCUGGCUGCUUUGGCUGGGUUUAAUGAGGCCUCUGCGAGGGUUCUAUGCCUGUGCUAUGCCUGCAUGAGGCUGACCAUAUGGACAGCCCUUAUAGCCAGGGUGGUCAAAAGGCAAGAAGCAGGUGGCUCAGGGGACCCUCUGCUUAGGGAAACCCAGCUGCCCUGCCCAGAGGAUAAUCCCACUUUAUAGACAGGAGAGGGCAAGCCGACCGGCCAAGAGCACAGGCUUCGGAGUCAGACAGCCUGGGACUGCAGCCCUGCUCUCCUUCCCAACAGGGAAGGCCCCUUCACCCUCCGCCUCCUGACUAAACUCAGCCUGGGGCCCAGUCUUUCCUGCCCAGUGUGGCCCAUGGGACACUCUCUUUAGUGGGAACAUGAAGGCCUCUUUUUCCAGGGCUGAGCCAGGGCCCUCCAGAUAGAAAAUGAGCAGCUCCAAGACAAGGGGAUGAGUGGGAGAGCAGAGGGAGGGAGGUCCUGUUUCCUAAGAAACCCCCCACUCCCUCCCCAGCUGCUCUGGGCACAAAGAAGGGAAAAACCUGACUCAUCAGUGCUGGUGUGACUCACAGGCCAACAAAACUGGCUUGCCAGACUGGUUGGGAGGGGAACCUGCUGCUGCCACCAUAACUCGGGGCUGUGGGCAGGUAAAGCCCAUCCCUCCAUCCCUCUGGCUGUAGAGGACGCAUCCUGCCCACCGCCAGAUGCAGGGCCUGGGUGGUGGGCCUGGCUGGGGCACCACUCUCAGCCUGACCCCCGCCCUGGAACAGCCACAGCUGCUUCAGGAACUUAUUAGCGAGGGGCGGAGCUGGGAGGGAAGACAACUCAGAGGCUUUGGAACACAGAGAGGUGGCUUUAAGAAUCAGAGAGGAGGCCGGGCGUGGUGGAUCAUGCCUGUAAUCCCAGCAUUUUGGGAGGCCGAGGCAGGUGGAUCACCUGAGGUCAGGAGUUCGAGACCAGCCUGGUAAACAUGGUGAAACUCCAUCUCUACUAAAAAUACAAAAAAUCAACUGGGUGUGGUGGCAGGCGCCUGUAAUGCCAGCUACUCGGGAGGCUGAGGCAGGAGAAUUUCUUAAACUAGGGAGGCGGAGGUUGCAGUGAGCCGAGAUCGCACUACUGCACUCCAGCCUGGAUGACAAGAGUGAAAUUGCAUCUC